CAGGAACAAAUCCACUGGUAAUGUUAAACUUCUGAAGGUUCAUCAGAAGUGAUGUGCCUUUCACACCCAUUACUGCUUCAACUGGCGUCCGUAACAUGGCAUAUUCAAAAUGUUCCGUCUCUGUCCUUAGUGGUGGUUCUGGUGUCUUCCAGGUGUAUGGGCCACCACCAGUAAAUAGAGAAAAGUCACACCCAUAUUUGCCAUUUAAUUGUUUGCUAUUUCUAAGAAGGGGACGAGCAACAGAAGGAGCAGAUCAGAGGGCUUCUCCAAAUUAUCGACCAACUGAUCUGACAGAGAGAGCACAAGGAUGUGCCAACUCUUAGAUUUGAGUCAACAUCAAAGUUGUACAUGGAGCCAUCUCUCCGAGUCCAAGGACCUUUGUUGUCUAUGGGAUGGUCUAAAAGUUCUUCCGAAGAUGAACGAAGGUCUUACAGCUUUGGGACGACAUGAGGGCACAAGAUGAAAACAUGUUGCUGUGGUUAUCACCAUGUCAAUCAUCACCAGUGUGUCUGAGACUCACUCACAGAACAAUAAUUUUUUCAGAAACUGUGCACAUGUGAACAUGACCGUUGGUUCUCUUAGCAGCAUAAAAAAACCUUUCAUAUAAUUGUGUGAUCUUUACUCCUUUUAUUCUGUAUGUAGAGUUAUCAUUUUAAUAUCCAAAGGGUUUUCUGUAGUUCAAAGAUAAAACCUUGUUUACACUGACAAACUUGUUAAAACUGAAGAUUUACUGCAGGUCCAGUAAAUGUUAGAUAUUAUCAAUGUUAAAACUAA
ensembl:lncRNA